rnacentral:rRNA from 1 species
GACAGAGGUCCCGAGCGUUAGGCGGAAUCACUGGGCUUAAAGCGUGUGUAGGCGGAUUGACAAGUACCUUGUGAAAUCCCACGGCUUAACUGUGGAACUGCUUGGUAUACUGUUGAUCUUGAGACAUCUAGGGGCAACUGGAACAAACGGUGGAGCGGUGAAAUGCGUAGAUAUCGUUUGGAACGCCAAUGGUGAAAACAGGUUGCUGGGGAUGUACUGACGCUGAGACACGAAAGCCAGGGGAG